GCCUGGAUGCAGCCAUGCCGCGUGAUAUGAAGAAGGCCUUCGGGAUUGAUAAAGCUACUUUCAGUUUGUGAGGAAGGGGGUGUCGUUAAUAGCGGCAUCCUCUUGACGUUAGCAACAGAAGAAGCACCGGCUAACUCCGUGCCAGCAGCCGCGGUAAUACGGAGGGUGCGAGCGUUAAUCGGAAUUACUGGGCGUAAAGCGCAUGCAGGUGGUUCAUUAAGUCAGAUGUGAAAGCCCGGGGCUCAACCUCGGAACUGCAUUUGAAACUGGUGAACUAGAGUACUGUAGAGGGGGGUAGAAUUUCAGGUGUAGCGGUGAAAUGCGUAGAGAUCUGAAGGAAUACCAGUGGCGAAGGCGGCCCCCUGGACAGAUACUGACACUCAGAUGCGAAAGCGUGGGGAGCAAACAGGAUUAGAUACCCUGGUAGUCCACGCCGUAAACGAUGUCUACUUGGAGGUUGUGGCCUUGAGCCGUGGCUUUCGGAGCUAACGCGUUAAGUAGACCGCCUGGGGAGUACGGUCGCAAGAUUAAAACUCAAAUGAAUUGACGGGGGCCCGCACAAGCGGUGGAGCAUGUGGUUUAAUUCGAUGCAACGCGAAGAACCUUACCUACUCUUGACAUCCAGAGAAGCCAGCGUCAGACGCAGGCGUGCCUUCGGGAGCUCUGAUACAGGGCUGCAUGGCUGUCGUCAGCUCGUGUUGUGAAAUGUUGGGCUAAGACCCGCACCGAGCUGAAACCCUUUAUCCUUGUUUGCCACCGAGUAAUGUCUGGGAACUCCAGGGAAGACUGCCGGUGAAUAAACCCUGAAGAAACGUGGGGACCAACGUCCUAGUCAUUCAUGGCCCCUUACGAGCUAGGGCUUCCACCCUGUGCCUACAAUGGUCACCUUAACCCUAGGGGCAGCCGAACCUUUGCCACAGUUGGACCUUAAUCCCCAAAAAAGGGUG
rnacentral:rRNA from 1 species